rnacentral:misc_RNA from 1 species
UGAAGAAAUUCUAACAGAUCCACAUCUGUUAGAUUAACACCCAGAAUACAGGGAACCGCAAGAAGCCUGACAGAUGUUUGCUGCUUGUGAAUCAGAUUCAAGUUCCUGGUAAAUGAUUUUGAAGCUUGAGAAUGAAUGUUGCAGAUCCAACCCCAGUUUUGAAUUUGGUCAGCAUAGUUGUGUAAUAAUUGAUAACCAAUUUCAGGCAUGACCAAUUCUUGCUCGGAAUCAAGAUAGGUUGUUGUUCUUUUUUGUCCAGAUAGAACCUUCUCACGCAGUUCUUCCAAACGAAUUCGCU